GUAGAUGGUACUGCAAGGUUUCUGCCUUACCGGCAGUACAGAUUUCAGCGUUGCGUCCAACCGUAACGCAACCGGCUCGCGCCGGACUUUGCUAAUCAGCCAGUGGAUGUCACUGGU
rfam:Pseudomonas sp. TTT2014-080ASC scaffold_0, whole genome shotgun sequence.